AAUUAUUAUUUCAUCUUUUAUUUUUACACGUUUACUUCAUCCCUUAGCUAUAGGGCUUAUAUUACUAAUUCAAACUGUAAUAAUCUGUGUUACAGCUGGUUUAUCAAUAAAUUCUUUUUGGUUUUCCUAUAUUUUAUUUAUUAUUUUCCUAGGAGCAAUAUUAGUUCUAUUUAUUUAUGUAGCAUCCUUAGCUUCUAAUGAGUCCUUUAGAUUUUCUACCUCUUUACUUUUAGUAUUUAUAAUAACAGCUUCAGUAAGAUUACUAAUAAUAUUUAUAGAUCCUAUAUUAGUAAAUACUCCUCUUUCCCUACAACAAUCAUCACUGAUUAAUGACCAGUUUUCUUCAACCCCUAUAUUAUUAAGAUCUAUUUAUAAUUAUACUACUAUAAACCUCACUUUAUUUAUUGUAUUAUAUUUGUUAUUAACAUUAAUCGUAGUAGUAAAAAUUACUAACACUUUUUUUGGUCCUUUACGACUAUCCUCACCUAAUUAAUGACAAUACCAAUUCGUAAAUCACACCCUUUAUUUAAAAUUUUAAAUGGAGCUGUUAUUGACCUCCCAGCACCAGCUAACAUUUCAACUUUGUGAAACUUUGGUUCUCUCCUUGGUUUAUGCUUAGUUAUUCAAAUCGUUACUGGACUCUUUUUAGCUAUACACUAUACUGCUCAUGUUGACCUAGCAUUCUCUAGUGUAGCACAUAUUUGUCGAGAUGUAAAUUAUGGAUGACUUCUCCGAACGUUACAUGCUAAUGGAGCGUCUUUCUUCUUCAUUUGUCUGUAUAUACAUACCGGACGAGGUAUUUAUUAUGGAUCGUUUUUAUAUAUACAUGCUUGAUCAGUAGGUGUCAUUAUUCUUCUACUAGUUAUAGCGACUGCCUUCUUAGGAUAUGUGUUACCUUGAGGACAAAUAUCAUUCUGGGGAGCCACUGUAAUUACGAAUUUAUUUUCAGCUAUUCCAUAUAUUGGUACAGAUCUUGUACAAUGAAUUUGAGGUGGAUUUGCAGUCGAUAAUGCUACAUUAACUCGAUUCUUCACUUUUCAUUUUUUAUUCCCGUUUAUCGUAGCAGCAGCAACUAUUAUUCAUAUUCUUUUUAUUCAUCAAACAGGAUCUAACAAUCCGCUAGGAAUUGUUAGUAAUGUAGACAAAGUACCUUUUCAUCCUUAUUUUACAUUUAAAGAUAUUACUGGAUUUAUCGUAAUGCUAGCAGGACUUAUUCUAUUAACAUUAUUAAACCCUUAUUUAUUGGGAGAUCCAGACAACUUUAUUCCCGCCAAUCCACUUGUUACCCCUGCCCAUAUUCAACCGGAGUGAUAUUUUUUAUUUGCAUAUGCUAUUUUACGAUCAAUUCCUAAUAAAUUAGGAGGUGUUAUUGCCUUAGUAAUAUCUAUCCUCAUUUUAUUAAUCUUGCCUUUUACCCAUGUAGCAAAAUUUCGAAGAUUAACGUUUUAUCCUUUAAAUCAACUUAUAUUUUGAUCAUUAGUAAGUAUUGUCUUCUUAUUAACUUGGAUUGGGGCACGGCCCGUUGAAGAUCCUUAUGUAAUUACUGGUCAGAUCCUGACUGUUCUUUAUUUCUCUUAUUAUUAUUAACCCACUUACACUUAUAUGAUGGGAUAAGAUACUAGAUUA